GACGAACGCUGGCGGCGUGCUUAACACAUGCAAGUCGAACGAAGUGGCGAACGGGUGAGUAACGCGUAAUCAACCUGCCCUUCAGAGGGGGACAACAGUUGGAAACGACUGCUAAUACCGAAUACUGAAGGAGGGGAUUGCGUUUGAUUGGCUAGUUGGGGGGGUAACGGCCCACCAAGGCGAUGAUCAGUAGCCGGUCUGAGAGGGUGAACAGCCACAUUGGGACUGAGGCACGGCCCAGACUCCUACGGGAGGCAGCAGUGGGGAAUCUUCCGCAAUGGACGAAAGUCUGACGGAGCAACGCCGCGUGAGAGAUGACGGCCUUCGGGUUGUAAAGCUCUGUUAAUCGGGACGCGGUACCGGAAUAGAAAGCCACGGCUAACUUCGUGCCAGCAGCCGCGGUAAUUC
rnacentral:rRNA from 1 species